rnacentral:lncRNA from 1 species
UGGUUUAUGUCAGUUUGGAGUGCUAUUAGCACUACCCUAUGUACCUUCCCGGUUUUGGAAUACUUGGCUUGGAUACUUGGAAUUAUGGAAUACUUGGAUAUGUCGAAACUCGGGCACCCUUGAUGGGGUGUUUCAUAGACCCUUAGUGGGGUUAGUCUUCCCACGUAGGACUUGUCACAGGUGUACGAGUAUUAAGGAUUCUGCUAUGCGUGCUAGUGAGCCCAGUCCCCCGAUUAGAUGGCUUGAUCCCUAGCCACAUGGUCAAUUGAGGAUUCUAUCAUGUGGUCUAGUCAAACAAUCCCUUGGUUGGAUUGUUUUCCCAGUACAAGUUUGGUAGUGGUCAUACUUAUAUAUAUAUACCCACACACACACAUAUACCUUCGUUCUUGUUUAUCGAUGAGGAUCCUUCCUCGCUCACGGAGCCAAUGGGCACGAGUUUUAGGUGAGUGGUUUGAGAAAAAGGGAAGGGUGUUGAGUGAGUUUGAGUAAUAGUAUACUAUUAUGAGAUAUGGUUCUUAACUUUGUUUUAAUGGACUAUAUAUGAAUAUAUCGGGUUUCAAUUGCAUGUUUUCUACAUCGUUUUCCAAAUGGUGG